GUAUAUCCAUGUCCUCGGCCUCCCAGGUGGCCUGAUCGUACGGAAGCUCCCUCCACUUGAUCAAAUAAUGGACGUUGUUUUUUCUGUCCACGCUGAAGAACCCAGAAAACAUCAAAGAACAUUAAUAUAAAACCUGGUUGUGUGCCUGCUGACCUGUGGUUCAGGAUGCGGUGAAUCAUCAACCACUCCAUCUUUAUUCCAAAGCGGAAGUACUUCUCCUCCAGGUGAACAUAUGUGGGAUCCUUGCUCUUCCUCUUGACAUAUUUAUCCUCCUCUCCCUCGCCAAAGUCGAUGGGCGGCGGUUCGUCCAUGUCGUUCUUCCUCUGGUAGUUCCUGAACAUCACCUGGCAGUGCAUCUCCAGCUACAUUUGCCGAUGAGACAUUAAGAGGGGGGGUUAUUAAGGAGCAUUUCUCCAUUUUUCUUUUCAGGAAGUUGAGCCGUCUCACCUGCAGCUCAGAGACCCAGGAGCAAUGCCAGUACGACAUGUUGCACCAUUUGGCGAAGAACUCCCGCUCUGCCCGUCCCUUCAGAGGAGGGGGGUCGGGGGCAUCGGGCAGCAGUUCUGGAGGGCGGGGUACCACAGUGGGGGGCGGGGGCUCUCCCCAUCGCCAUGUCAAGAUUUUCUGUACCUUUCCUUUCAUGGGUGGACACUGGAGAACAGAGGAGGAGGAGCGUUCUCAAACUUUUAAUGUCAUGACCUGCAAGAUUUUUUAAUUAAACAACAGUUUCAAAGUUGAUUCUCAGGAGGAAUUAGUUUGUCCAUAAACAAGAUCAAACAACAAAAUACACAGAUUAUUUUAGUCUGAACUUAAACUAAAGCUUAAACAGUCCACUUUGUUUGAAUUAAAUUCAGGUGCAGACAUUACAAAAUGUGGUACGCUAAAAUAGGAACUUUGGAGUUUAGAUGGGAAAUAAAAGCAGAAAGAGCCAGAAAAAAAAAAAAAACAGGCAUUAAGUAAAAAAAAA